AUGCAGCCCAGAAGGGCGUGGGAGUAGCACCUGAGAAUAACGGUCUCCUUGUGCGGAUCUGGGGAGCCCCCUGCAGGGUGGCAACCAGAGGAAAGGGCCACAAUGUUCCACGGCCAAGGAGGAAAGAAGGAAUGCCCCCUUUCCCAUCUCUAGGUGAAGCUGGACUCACCCACCUGGGCUGCCAUAGGAAAACGGAGGAGCUGGCAGUGCCCUGGCGCAGGCAUCUAAUAGCUGCUGUUUUUCAAAUGAAUGACUUGUCAGUUGGAAGCUGCUGAAGGGCAGUGGACACUCAAAAGUCUUUGUAAGAG